rnacentral:rRNA from 1 species
UACGGAGGGUGCAAGCGUUACCCGGAAUCACUGGGCGUAAAGGGCGUGUAGGCGGCGGUUCAAGUCCGGCUUUAAAGACUGCGGCUCAACCGCAGGGAUGGGCUGGAUACUGAAUGGCUGGGUCUCUGGAGAGGUAAGUGGAAUUUCGGGUGUAGCGGUGGAAUGCGUAGAUACCCGAAGGAACACCGAUGGCGAAGGCAGCUUACUGGACAGAAGAUGACGCUGAGGCGCGAAAGUGUGGGGAGCAAACCGG